AGUGAACGCUGGCGGUAGGCCUAACACAUGCAAGUCGAACGGCAGCACAGUAAGAGCUUGCUCUUACGGGUGGCGAGUGGCGGACGGGUGAGGAAUACAUCGGAAUCUACUUUUUCGUGGGGGAUAACGUAGGGAAACUUACGCUAAUACCGCAUACGACCUACGGGUGAAAGCAGGGGAUCUUCGGACCUUGCGCGAUUGAAUGAGCCGAUGUCGGAUUAGCUAGUUGGCGGGGUAAAGGCCCACCAAGGCGACGAUCCGUAGCUGGUCUGAGAGGAUGACCAGCCACACUGGAACUGAGACACGGUCCAGACUCCUACGGGAGGCAGCAGUGGGGAAUAUUGGACAAUGGGCGCAAGCCUGAUCCAACCAUACCGCGUGGGUGAAGAAGGCCUUCGGGUUGUAAAGCCCUUUUGUUGGGAAAGAAAAGCAGCAGGUUAAUACCCCGCUGUUCUGACGGUACCCAAAGAAUAAGCACCGGCUAACUUCGUG
rnacentral:rRNA from 1 species